GGUUCCUAGUCAAAAAAGAAAAAGGACUACAAGCACUUAAAUAAGAAAAUGCAAACAGUUAACUCUAAUGGAGUUGUUCUAAGGUUAACUCUGAUAGACCAGUGCAAAUAUGAUUUGUUGUUUUCUUGUUUCAAUAAGAUGCAGUGAAGAAAAAAGAAAAUAAAGAGGAAGACAACAAAUGUGUUGAUACCUUUGGAUGGACUAAUCUUGUGAAAGGAGACUUGCUUGCUGUGCCUGGGGGUGAGACACAGGACUCCACGGGCAAUUCAAUUAGCUAAUUCAUGCCUCCGUCCUUUUUUUGUCAAUAUAGAAAAGGGAAUCAGUAUUCCUUUAUUGUGUGGAAUUAUUGCAAACUUGCCUUCAGUGUGCCAUGCAAAGUCCAUUCAACAGUAUGGAACAAAACAGAGAAAGAAAGACUCAUAGAAAAGAACCAGCACCUGAAUAAUAGAGAACCAGAUUGAAAGGUAGUGGAUACUGUCUGCUGCUGCUUAUGUAGCAUUGGACCAGCAAAGGGUGUACCUUGGGAGGAGAGGGAGAGGCAUGCGAGAAACACAAUGUUCCCUAGGUUUCUUAGGAUCAGCUGACUUUGGACAGGGAUGAGAAGACGGUGCAGGCUUCCCAAGAGAUUACAGAGCAAAAAGGAAGGAGAAAAGGAGGGAAACAGGGAGGUGUCAGUCAAGACCAGUAAGUUCCUGACCCUUAGAGAUAAAUACCCACUUCAUACUGCUUCUGGCAGAGCUGCUUGGUUGAAAAGUGAGAGAUAUCUAGGAAAAACAUUGAGUGCAGAUUUGAAAGAAAGCAUGCCUAGAUUUCCUUUAUUUGAGCAUCUUUUUAUCUGAGACACUGGUCCUACACUAGGACACUGUAAUCUUUUCAUGAAUCAAGACCAGCACUGAUAAGCUGCCUUUAGAAACUUUAAAUUUAAGGCAUUCCCAGGACUUUGAUUAAAGCAGCAGUGGGGAGAAAUCUGAAGCGGGACCAUGGAAAUGUGCAACUUUUACUUCUUUACUUCUUUUGCUAAAGUAGGCUCCUUUUUUAGAGGUUUACUUCAGGAGGAGAGCAGGUUUGUUGGAGUGCAUGUGGAAUAUUUGUUCAUGAACAAUGUCAGGGCUGACUGCUGAGAAGAAAUCAAAUUAGUGCCAACUACAGUUCCUGUGGAAGUCUGCUAAGAAUUCAGUGAAAAUCAAGCAAAGCAGCUGGCUGAGGGAGAGCAGCAAAGCCAAAGUCCUGUACUGAACUGAACCUGUCAACUUGAAAGGACCAGGAGGGUGAGAAGUUGACUGAAUACAGAUGUUAGAAGUACGUCAUUGUGUAUUAUGGCAAGCUGCAACAACAUUGGCAAAAAAAAGAAUACUGAGAGAGGAUGAGAGAAGAUGCCUACAUUCAGAUAAACAGGUGGGAAAGUUGUGCAAUGCAUAAUCAAGGUGGGGAAAAGAGGAAUUUACAGUACAGGCUGAGACUCAGCACAGCGCUAAGGGAUCAGCACAGAGAAACACAGAGGAACAUGUUCCAUUUGGCAAAUAUUGCAGCUGUUCUCCAUCUCCCUUACGCUUACGACAAAGGUGCAUUUGGCACUGUCUGGACGUGAGGGUGCUACAGGAGUGGCAGCUCUUUCGUAGCAUUUGACGAUGAGCUUCCUCUUCACUGUGCCAAGGAGAGGACAGACAAAGUUUUGGCUGCUUACUUUACAGAACUGGUUUGACAGCUGGGUAGAGGGAGCUGCAGAGAGCCUAAGCACUUCCAAAACAUUCAGGAGGAAUUUUAGGUGGUCCAAAGAGCAUUCAAACAAAAACCUCCCACAGCCUGAAAUUUGGCUCAUGCUAAUUGAGCACUAAUUGCAAACCUUCAAGAAAAAGGAAUCCUUUCCUCCAGUCAGUACGGCUCUGAACAUAGUAGAGAGCAAUGGUUUUAAAUACUGCUUUAAAGGCAGUGGGUAAAAUUAACUUUUGAUUGCAGACAUCAUUUAGAAGCAGAAGAUUGUAGCAUCCUUUGGGCCAAAUUUGAAUAAUGUGCUGUUCUUGUUCUUCUUGGUAGUAAGUUUCAAAUCAGUUUUCAAAGGAAUUCAAAUUUUUGUAUUACAAAGAGGCUUAGGCACGGGUGGCGACAUGAGGUGGAACCAGGAGCUGAAUCAGGUCUCUUGUACCUGAAAACCCUUCUGGCUGCAAGACACCACUUCUCCCAUUUGCUGUUCUGCCGCCCUAAUAAACACAGGUAUUUUGAAGCAUGUCAAGAAUCAAGGGUUUGAGUAACAGAGCCAAGCCCAUCACGUGGCUCACCGCCACUAACCUUCCCUGGCCUUUGCGACGUUUUCUCAGCUGGUGGCUCUGGGGCUCAUUUGAUUUAACUUGACAAAGAAAGCAGAGCAUUUUUCUGCUGUUAGUGAGCUGAAUAGGUUCAAUGAAGUGUUCAGUGAGCACCAGAGCCAGCUCAAGAGACUGGGCCAGUUCUGGCUGGGCAAGGAACAGCUGUGACAGGAACAGCCGCAUCUUUCAAGACAGCAAAUGCCAAGAUGAGCUUGACAGCAUUGUCAAACCACAUGCAGAGUCUUGCAAUCUUUUCUUUUAUACUUCAGAUACCAGAGGCAAUGAUGUGAACCAUGGCCAAGAGUUGCAGUCAGAAGUGGGACACUGCUGAAGACCAGUUAAGAAAGGCUGACCUAUAUUGUCUGGUAGAGAAAGGGACUGGAAAUCAAUCCCACUUAGAAAGUAGGAAUUCCAGGGUCAGUCCAGGUGGAAAAAUUGAAAAAUAAAGAUUUUGUUAUAGUUUAGUUCAUUCCCGAGAAGCUGCUUUUCUGAUAAAUUGCACUCUCUACAAGGCAAUCCUCCCACUUACUCCAGUUAUUGGUGGAUAGGAAUGGUCUGUAAAAAGGUGACUUUACAGGCAGCAGCUGGUUCAUUUAAUUACAGAUAGACAUAUUUUCUGCUUCUAAUUCAAAUGCUGCCCAAGCACACAAGUACAGUUUGCUUGUUCUAAAGCAGUCCAUUUGACCUAGAUAACUGCUACUCUCUCUCGAGACAAAAACUCCUCACAUUCUUUUUAAAGUUCUUUCAUGUUGCAGGCUCCAUGCAACAGCCAGAGGUACAAAAGUUUUAACAAAAUAAAAUUAAACCAGGAUUGUAAGAUGUAUCAUAUUUGACACUGAGAAACAAAAAUUAAAACAACUGACCCUGCGUCAUUCUAGGACUUAGCAGAAAAAGAAUGUUUUCUACUUAGGCGUUUGAAAAUCACAUUUAAAAAAUAACCAGCUCAGAACUUACCUCUACGUGAUUCUUGCCUUAAAAAGAUGCCUAGAAGAGGUCUUGUAUGGUAAUUUUAUGCACUGGAAGGUUUACACUGAAUUUAAAUAGAAAGAGUUAUUACCAGCAUUCAGAGAAAACCACUCUUUCAUUGCUCUCCAUUUUCCCUCCAAUCGGUACUUCCCAGCUACUGCCAGUCCACUGUGCUGCUUCAGGAGUAGCUUUCAACUAAGUUCCCAGUGGAGUAUCUGAUAUUUUUCCAAGAAAAGCUCUUGAGACUCUGAACGAACAGUCCUUUCGGCACAAUCCCUGUGCCCAACAACUUUCUACAUAAAAGCCCUCAUUAUGAAUUUUGAGUCAGUGGGGUUUUCUCAGGCAGUGUAUGUCGCUGAUCAGUCUUUCUAGACCUAGAACUGGUGUUUCCCAUAUAGUUAGUGCCCUAAAGCCCAUUCAAAUGCUGUGCAGGCUAACAACUACAAAAGAAAAAAGAUCCAAAAGAAAAUCAUGUUAAAAAUUUGAUUCAGAAUUGGCAGCUCUGUAACCUCUCCCUUAGCUGCCAUCUCAUUAACAUAUUUGUUCAAAAGCCUUUUCUCUGCUUCAUUACAUAAUUUGUGUUACAAAAUCCAGAUAAACAUUCAUUAUUCCCAGAUUUAAAUAAUGGCUUAUUGCGCUUCCUUUUUCUUCUUCCUUCAUUUUUCCCAGAGAAAAAUGGGGGACAGAAGGGGCUUGUUUAGAUGGGAAAUGAACCACACCAAUUUCUGAGAAACAUCUGUGACAGCUGUUGUCUAUGGCAUUAUGAUACAUUGUGCAAAGUCUAGUGAAUAAUUAUUUCUGAUACUCCUGCAAGGUGGAAGAAUUAAUAUUAGUGUCCCUACCUGACAGACGAAGAAGGUCAAUUAGUAUUUUCUGUAUCUCCUGUAUCCCAUUGUUCCACACUGGGUAGGGUCUGUCACAUCAAAGACACUGGUUACAUCAUAUAGCUAUAAGGGAUCAGUUGUAGCAGCAGGUACACAAAUGCUUGACCUUCCUUCCAAAAGGCAUUGAAAACAUGAAGUUCUGUUCAUUUUUCUCUUUAACUUAUAUUUCUUCUGAAGUUUCCUAUGUAAAAAUGUAUUGCUGAGGUCCAGCAAGAGACAGGACGUGCUGUUCCUGGGGCCUUCGUGCUGUUGGUCCAUCCCAACCACAGCAAGGUGUCCCCAGGGAGGAAAGGCAGUGCUGGCUAGUGCAGGUUAGAGAUUUCACCUGGCACAUAUUUGGAUACCAUGGGUCCAAGGGAAACUGGGGAAUUAGUGAGGCCUGGGCAUCUGCUGGGGCAUGGCUGAGCAGCCCAUGCUGUGCACUUGGGGAGGAGAGGCUGGGGACCAAUGAUGGGUUUUCUCCCCUGUGGUGAUGGAGGGAAAACACCUCCCGUGAGCUGGCUGCUUUUUUCCAAGGGAAACAGCAUUGCCCCAGGGAGGCCAAGAUGGGUUUGUGGGGCCAAAUACUACCAUGACCAGCCCUCAAGAGGCGAAGUGGAUAGCAGCAUGCCCCUGCCCUCCUACUCACCACAAGCCAGCCCUGAGGCCCUGCAGCCUGGGAGGGACCUCAUGUCGUGCCUCCCUCCUCAGGGUGCCACAGGCUCCCUCAACUCUGGGCCAGAGCAUGCCUGGAUGCUGGGGGCAGAGGCCAGCCAGACCAGCACCAGCGGGGUGGAGGAACCCUGCCAUCUACUGAACCAGCUAAUGUAAAUCAAACUUACAUGGGAAAGAAGCAAACUGAGGCCCCAGAGUUUCUCUAAGGACUAGCGAACUAAUCUGUGUGUGGAACUCACACUGAAAACCAAACCCCAAUACUUCUCUGGCAAUGCUGCUGUUUCUCCUUUAAAGAAUUUUUUGGCUAACAGCUGUUUGGGGUGGAGUUACUGCAACACAGCCUUUCAGUUUUUGGGUUUUUUUCCUCUCUGCUCUUAGAAGAAAGGAUAUCCAGCAGAAUAAAAAGAAAAAUGUCAGGAGAGAGCAAGUCCUGCAAAAAUUGGGUAAUUGGCCAUCUCUCAUAGAUGGCUGAAAGGGGCCAUGAGGAUUGCAGAACUUGAUGUGUCUUGAAUAGUAGCAAGGCCAUUGGACAAACUAUACAAAAGAAAGAUGAUUAGCUUUCCCUCUCCCAGAAGAGACUACACUCCACCUCAAGCUCUUAAAGACACUAAUUUUUUUUUGAUAUGCUGGUGACCUGUGACUCUUGCAACAUUCUGCUGCCACUUCCAACCCUUCAGAAACAUGAGAUCAAAUGUCUGCAUUGGACAACUUUGCAAAAUGAUAGGAUGAAAAAAAAUCAAGCCACAGGGAAAAAGAAGACUGUUCCUACAGCAUUCGUGACUAAGUCUGGAAAUAGAGGCACGUCUCCAGAUUGAAGCUUCAGCUCAUCUUUAGGAAAAGGCACUGAAAUGAGCCACUGAACCCAGGACCAGCACAAACAUCUUCAUCUCAGGAGAUGACAGACAGAUCCUGGGAUAACUGAGGGCAUUCGUCUCCUGAAAUACAAGUGGAAACUGAUAGAGUCCAAUGGCAGGAAAAUGGAUGCUCACGGGACAGCAAAUGGGCAGGAACAGGCAGGUAAGGGGAUGGUGCACACACCAGCCCUGUUACCCCAAGACCACUGCAGACUGUCUUUGUGCUCUGUCACAGGUUAUUGUGAGAGCAAACGGGGUCACACCCCGUACUGCAACACCGGGACCAAAGUUACUGUAUCUGGAAAGAGCCACAAAACUACCUCAGAUCACAGGGCCGGCUUUAGCCUUCCAGCCUUUCCCUCUGGAGGGGUGGGAAGGCCUGGACUAUUGAAGAAGUAUUUCCUCCGCGAAGGCUCACAGGGUGUUCGGUGCUCGGUACUGCGGCGGCACCGUGUGGCUGACGGUGGCACCGUGUGGCUGAUGGGGGCACCGUGUGGCUGACGGUGGCACCGUGUGGCUGACGGUGGCACCGUGUGGCUGGUGGGGGCACCGUGUGGCUGACGGUGGCACCGUGUGGCUGGUGGGGGCACCGUGUGGCUGGUGGGGGCACCGUGUGGCUGGUGGGGGCACCGUGUGGCUGACGGUGAGACCAGCACCGGCUCACCCGCGCAGGGCCGCGGCUCGGGCUCGGGCUCGGGCUCGGGCUCGGGCUCGGGGAGAGCCGGGAGCAGCCUGGCCAGCCCGGGCGCGGGACCGGUCGGUAAAUAAUUAAUUAAUUAUUAAUAACGUCAGGAUCCCAGCUGGGUCAAAGACAACAGCGUCUGGAUAAAGAGAGCAGCGAGCCAAGUGUCCAUGGCCUGGAGCACUCUGCAGCCUCCCCGGCAUGCUCAGGCGUACCAGCUGCCGGGAGUCUGUCUCAAUACCAAGAGAGUCUCCAAAACAAAAUACCUCUCUGAUGGAUCUUCAGAAUACCUGCAAGCAAUCUGUCUCCGGCCUCCCAGCGUGAGGAGAUGGCUGUUACGGCCACCUCAAAUGUCACUCUGGUGCUGAAUGUGCUGCCCAGCGCGGGGAAUCUGCUCCCAAGCUCGGUGAGUCCUCGGGGGACAAACCGCGACUCUUCGAUUUUGUGAAUGGCCUCUGUCUAAACUGCCGGGUCCUGGUGGGAAGGUGAAGGGCCUGUUCAUUUGCAGAGCCACGUCACUGUGUGAAAGCUGCAGUUCCCACACGUCUGCAAACCUGAGGCCCGAGGUCCGUAAGGGAUGCGGGGAACAGGGUACCACGAGGUACCUCACCCUCUCUCGGGGUGAGAGAGAAGCAGCGCUGUUCGGUUUCCGAAUUCCCAGAUGUGUUCGGUGUGCCAAUGUGCUCGUUUCCGUCACUAGAUGGCAAUAAAGACCCGACGUGCUCUUCCCUGGACGGCACAGGAGGAUUGUAGAGUUCGGCCUGGAUUUGCCCCAGGAGAUAGGACUGGAAGAUACUAGAGAAACCGAGAAAAUAAGUGUGCCGUCGUUCUGCUUGACUGCACAGGCUGGAGCCUCUGCUGGAGCACUGUUCCUGAUCCACCCGAGCAUCAGCCAGACAGCAGAGCUUGCAGGGUGCGAGUUCAUUUCCUGGGGGAGUGAGGAGUGCCCACCUGCACACACCUGUACCUGCCUGGGUGCCCACCUGCGUCUGCCCUGCAGCUGUCGGAUGCCCAGCAUAGCUGAGCUGCAGGGCUGAGCCUCACAGGGCUGGGACUCCUUUGCUGGGUUAUGUGACUUUUCUUACAGAAAGUUCAGUCUCUACAGGAGAGCCCAGGAAGGCAAUUUGCUCUUUAAAUGACCCCAAUGCACAUUGGGUGUAUUGAAGAAAAAAGCCAUUUCCUAGUGACUAAAUCUCAUUUAAAAAGCAAUUUUCCAAUCAAUUACAAUGCAAUUUAGCUGCUAACUGUUUAAUUAUCAAAAAAGAAGCUAUUUUGUUCUCUGUUCCUGUAUUUAUGAACCAUGCUUCAAAAUUUAAUCUUCAGAGUUUUGUAUGGAGGAAUGUGGCUGCUCUAUUGAUGCAAUUAUAGUAAAAUUAAAAUUUUCACUUCAAUGUAUUGUAUUAGUUCAAGGAAAUAUUGUUUGCCCAGAAGCCUUUGAAAUAGGAGGUUCAUUGAUUUCUACAAGAGCUGAACCUUUGUUAUCUUCAUGCACUAUAAAAAUUGCAUUAUCUUAUGUAGGUUUUAUUAAAGGAGCAUAGGAAUUAUUUUGUUUUUUGUUUACUUUUGUUUUCUUAAUCUUGUGUAAGAAUUUCAGUCCUGGAAACGUGCUGAAACUAGAGCAAGGUUCCUCUUGAAAAAAGGACUUGUGUCUCUGGAGAGACUGAAGAGGUACAUUGCAGGGGUGGUUUAUGAGAGCUGGGAUGCUGGCGCCUGGUUGUGACGUCUUGUCUUGGGGUGAGCACAGUGGUGGAGCACAGAGGGCUCAGUUCUGAAAACAGGAAAACAUUCAAGCAGCAGGGCUGACAUGACUUGCCAUUUUUAUUUGAAGUCUUGCAGUGCUUGGUGUUUCUUCUUAAAGCUCCAGUUCCCAGAGUUAUCUGAGAGGAGGAAGGGAUCUGAGACAUGAGGGGGUGGGAGGGCUCCUCUUUAGGAGAUAAUUAAAUAGGCAUUUCUCCAAAAUGUCAUGGGCAUUAAAAUGGAGUUUAAUGGUGGCAGUGACUGGAUGCCUACUUUUUGUUACCCCUUCUCUCACAACUUUUAGAUUAUUGCAGGAAAUUUGUUACAUAAAACUCCUACACAGGUCAUCACUGCUCCCUGGUGUGUCACGAUCACUUUGCUCAUGUUUGUGUGCCCGUAUACAUAUCUGGUCAGUUUUAAAAUUAUAGUGCAGAAGUAAUACCAGAUAUGGUAAUUAUUAAGCUGCUCUUGGCAAAACAAAGUUUUCAAAAGCCUCUAAUUGUUUUAGGAAUAAAUUAUCAGUUCACAGCUCUGUCACUUCACAAAUCUCAUUAUUAUACUCUUAGGAAAAAAAGUAGUUUUUGUAAGGAAUGUCUGUUUUCCUUCUUUCACAUGUCCGUGUGGCUGUUGCUUAUUUCCAGCAUGUCUACGUCUGGAAGGUUCUGUUUAUGAGCACAGUGGUAUGGCACAGAUAAUUAUUUAUUGAACUAGCUCAAAUCUUUAACGAUUCAGCUUUAACAGGUCUGUUCUAUUACUGUGCAUAAAGAGCACUGAAGUAAUUAAAACAAUUUGAUUGCUUUGAGUGAGGUGAGACUUAACACACACACACACACACACACACACGUACGUUGCAGUGUCACCUGAGGAUGACACUCAUAAAGCCCAGGUGCAGCACAGCCUGUGCACUGAAGGAGCCCUGUGCUGGCUGCAGAGCACUAAGGAAAGGCACAUAUGGCCUUCAAAGGGAGCUUUGGGACAAGUUCCCUCAUGAAACUCCACUGCUGGAGUUUAAAUAUUGACUGGAAAGACGGAAUUACUGGUCACAAUCCUGUACAGGCUUAUCCUCAGUUUUCCAACUUCAGGGUGUGAGUCUCCUGUUUGUGUGAGUGGGAUGAGUCCUGUGGUAGCACCAGGAUCGAGUGGCUGCAAGAUCCAAGGUGUAGCCAUCAGAACGUUUGCCUUGGAGCUGAAAGGCACAGUAGGAGCUGCCCCUGGCUCUGAGUGAGAAGAGAGCUGUGGUUUGCAGGUUCACUCUAGCUGAAUGAUGAGGACCACCCCCUGAGCCUCUGCUCUGGUAGGGCAGGGCUGGGGCCAGGCAGAAGCCCUGUCCUUCCCCAUGGUGCUGGUGGGUGCACAGGGGCCCUUGGCCUCUUCUGCCAUCACUAUUGGGGAAGCUGUGGUGGGAUUGUGGGGUGCUGGGAAGGAUGUCGUGCUCCACACCAGCACCAGGCACCAAAGGUGCUUUUUGAUUUCAUCUCAUGCUGUUCCUGCGGAGGGGAAACAAAUUUGGAAGGUGAAAUGAGUCCAGCAAAUGGAUUUUUCCUGUGAAAUGUGACUUUUAUCUUUGCUAAGCCUACCUAUUUAGAUUAUAAAACUGAGGAUUGAAAUGGUGUGUUCCAGUUCCGCUGCUACCAAAUGCCUGUUUAAAUAAAAGGUUUGCUAAAUAAUUC